CCUACGGGUGGCUGCAGUAGGGAAUCUUCCGCAAUGGGCGAAAGCCUGAUGGAGCAACGCCGCGUGGGUGAAGAAGGUCUUCGGAUCGUAAAACUCUGUUAUUAGGGAAGAAAGUGCGUGGGAGUAACUGUUCACGUUUCGACGGUAUCUAACCAAGCAGCCACGGCUAACUACGUGCCAGCAGCCGCGGUAAUACGUAGGUGGCAAGCGUUAUCCGGAGUUAUUGGGCGUAAAGGGAACGUAGGGGGACUUUUAAGUCUGAUGUGAAAGCCUUCGGCUUAACCGGAGUAGUGCAUUGGAAACUGGGAGACUUGAGUGCAGAAGAGGAGAGUGGAAAUCCAUGUGUAGCGGUGAAAUGCGUAGAUAUAUGGAAGAACACCAGUGGCGAAAGCGGCUCUCUGGUCUGUAACUGACGCUGAGGUUCGAAAGCGUGGGUAGCAAACAGGAUUAGAUACCCCAGUAGUC
rnacentral:rRNA from 1 species